AGAGGUGGGCAAAAAAAUCCAUAUUUUGGAUUUUAAACCACAUCCAAACCAAACUAUUUAAAAAGAAAAACAGUUUUUAAUAAAGAAAACCCAAACUAAAUUGGAUCCUUUUUAUAAUUUGGUUUUCAAAUCCAAACCAUUUAAACAAGUUUAAAUCCAGAUCCAAAUCCAUAUCCAAAUUAAAAUCCAAAAUAAAAAAAACCCUAAUCAGUGAAUCCAGUCCACAAUCCAGUUUCACACACAACCGUGUCUUUGUCGGUCUUCUCUCUUCGGCUCUUCCCUCUUGGUCUCCGCCGCAGCCGGCACCAGAGCAAGCACCGUGUUGGCUCUUCCCUCUAGUGUUCACCUGCCGGUUGAUCAUCGUCUGCUUGUCCAAAAUCUUACUGCUCAGGUAAUAAUUUGUCAUUCAAUUUGGUUAUUUGCUUGCGUUCAAGAUGCUUCCAAAAUUACUCUCAGUUUCAUACUUGUUUAGGUCGUUAGUGUUAUGAACUGAUGCUUCUAAAUGAUGUAAAUGGUGGAGACCCCAAGAGUUUAGGUCAAUAUUGGGAAUAUGGUUUUUAUUUUGAAACUGAGAAUUUCAAAUACUCCAAAAAUUAGUUUGUGGUUUGGUCAAUGAUAGUUUCAAAUUUUGGUUGAUUUUGACUGAAGUUUCAAUCUUUUCCCUAUUUCUGAAUUUUGAUUUCUGCCUCCAAAGGAGAAGAAAAGGUGGGUUUCUCUUCCAUUUUUUCAUUUUGCUUCUUUGAGUUUCUAAAUCAAUUUUGUUUUAGUAGAAUUUAAUUUCCCGAAUCAAAACUCUUGAGGAGGAAGUGUUCACUGAUGAUGAUAAAGUGUGGGUUGGUCUAAUCAAUCUUUUAUUUAUUCAUGUCAAUUGGAUUAUCCAGUUAUGUAUUUUCAUAGUUGUUAAUGCUCUUGACUGUCUCCCAGGAAGGCAUUUCACGAUGAGCUCAUAUGUUUGUUGAGGAUAUUUCCAAUAUUGCUUCUGGAAAUCCAUCAUUAGAUAGGAGCUCAUGUAUUUCCAACAAUUGUUUCCUUGAGCACAUCAAUGUAUGUUUCAGCUAGAAGCCAUAAAUAGUUUGCUAAAGGAAGUUAUGUAUCAAUGGCAAAUGCCACUUUAUAUGUACUCAUUUCUUGAUAUGUGCCCCUCCCUGUAUUAGGCUUUGUACAGAAGUUUUGUUUCUUUAUAUUUGUGAUUCCACUUCAUCUUUGCAAAGUUUUGAUUUGAAAUUGACUUUAGUAUUAAUUUUACUUUUAAAAAUAUUAUGGUUUGAAAAUUGAAUUUCUAAAAACUGGUUUUAAAAGUGGAUUUUUUGUUAAAAAAUCUGGUUUGGAAAUUGGAUUUUUAAAAACUAGUUUUAAAACUGGAUUUUUGGUUGAAAAAACUGGUUUUAAAACUGGGUUUUCAAAAACUGGUUUUAAAACUGGAUUUUUGGUUAAAAAAUUUGGUUUUAAAACUGGAUUUUCAAAAAAAAAAAAACUGGAUUUUAGAUUUGGAUAUAAAAAACCGGAUUUAAAAUUGGUUUAUAGAUAAAACCGGAUUUAAAUUCUAAAACCGGUUUAAAACCGGUUUUUGUUUUCUCAAACCGAUUUAAAACCGGUUUCUCUCUUCAAUCCAGUUUGGAUUUUUAAAAAUCCAAACCAUGCCCACUCCUACCUAGCUCUAGCUGCUCUCUUCUCUCAGUCUCACACUCUCGCUCUUUGCACUGGAGUCUCGAGUAGGAAGCCCUUCCUCCCAUCACUUGGCAGCGCCGCCGAAGACUUCUUCCCAGCGAGCACUGACCCAGCAGCUUUCUUCCCAGCAGCGCCGAAGCCGAAGCCUUCUUCCCAGCGAGCACCGACCCAGCAGCGCCGAACCCUUCUUCCCACCGAGCCACCUAGCACAGCACCGCCUAGCAGUGUUUUCGGCCACCCACAACACAGCACAGCACAGCACCGACUACCAAGCCACCCAACCACCGAUUCAAGUGAGACAUGGAGCCCGAGCCUCUGAGUCAGGUAUGUAAUUAAGUAAUUUGACUAAUUUCUGUUCAAUAAUCAUUGUUCAGUGAUUCAUUGUUGCUGGCUGUUGUUAACUUGUUAUUGUUUUAUUUGUUUCUCAUUGUUUAGGGAAAUUUAUUGUUUUAUUUGUUUUAUUGUUUUACUUGUUAUUGAUUCACUGAUUAUUUGAUUUCAUUGUUGCUAGUUGUUUUCUUGCUGGUUCAGUGUUCAUUGUUUUAUUUGUUGUUCAUUGUUUAGGGAAAUUGCUUCUGAUUGUUAGUUCAUUGAUCAUUGUUUAAUUUAUUUGUUGUUAUGUUUUUGCUCUUGAAUUAUUAGACCAAAGAAAUUGGAUUGAUAGAUAAAAAUGAUAGUAAAAAAUGAUAGUUUGUCCUGUUUGUUAUAACCCUUGUAGCUUUGGUUAUGAUGUAUUAGGAAAAAAUCUGCAUGCACGCUUCCCCUUCCCCUGUAUUGGAAGAUAUCACUGGAUCACAACAUGCACAAAAAUGAUAUCACUGUAUUGUUGCUACGUGCUGUUUACUGGUGGGUGCAUUGUUGAUUUGAUGAAUUAUUUUAUUGUUGGUUUUGUUGCUGGCUUGCUGCCUUGCUGGUUGCUGUUUAUUGUUGGUAAUUUACUGGUUGCUGUUUAUUGCUGGUUGCUGAAUUAUUUUAUUGUUGUUCUGUUUAUUGUUGGUAAUUUGGUAUUACUGGUUAUUGAAUUAUUGUUCAGUGUAUUGAGAUCAGUGUAUUGUUCAGUUUAUUGUUGAUAAUUUGGUAUUGCUGGAUUGCUGGUUAUUGAUUUAUUUUUCAGUUUAUUGCUUGAUGCUGGUUAUUGAUUUAUUGUUGAAUGUUGAUAACUUGGUAAUUGGUAUUGCUGGAUUGUUGCUGGUUUAUUGUAUUGCUGGAUUGCUGCUGGUUUAUGGUAUUGCUUGAUUUAUUGUAUUUACCCUGUUGUGCUAUAUAUAUAUAUUGGUCUUUUCUGAUUGCUGGUUCACUGAUCAUUGUUUAAUUUAUUUGUUGUUCUGUUUAAGGAAAUUUAUUUGCUGGUUCACUGAUCAUUGUCACCUCUUAAUUUGAGCAGAUUUGAAGGUUUUUUUUAUGACAGUUCCAUUGAUGGAGUUAUCAAGGAGAGCUUUACGGAAUAGUUUGUCUUGUUUGUUACACUUGUAGCUUUGGUUAUAAUGAACUAGGAAAGAAUAUGCAUGAAUAUGAAUAUCUUGAUAAGAAUGGAAUAGUUUGUCCUGUUUGUUAUAUAACACUUGUAGCUUUGGUUAUGAUGUACUAGGAAAGAAUAUGCAUGAAUAUGAAUAUCUUGAUAAGAAUGGGAUGGAUUGUCAAUUCUUUGAAUCAGUGACUGAUUCCUUAUUUUAAACUCAGUGACUUUGAGAUCAUGGGGAAAAACUCUAAAGGUGGCUUCAAGACUUUCCUUUUGUUGAAAA
rnacentral:lncRNA from 1 species